rnacentral:rRNA from 1 species
UACGUAGGGUGCGAGCGUUAAUCGGAAUUACUGGGCGUAAAGCGUGCGCAGGCGGUUGGUUAAGUCUGAUGUGAAAGCCCCGAGCUCAACUUGGGAAUGGCAUUGGAAACUGGCUGGCUAGAGUGUGGCAGAGGGGGGUGGAAUUCCGCGUGUAGCAGUGAAAUGCGUAGAGAUGCGGAGGAACACCGAUGGCGAAGGCAGCCCCCCUGGGCUGACACUGACGCUCAGGCACGAAAGCGUGGGGAGCAAACAGG